AUUGAACGCUGGCGACAUGCCUUACACAUGCAAGUCGAACGGCAGCACGGGUGCUUGCACCUGGUGGCGAGUGGCGAACGGGUGAGUAAUACAUCGGAACAUGUCCUGUAGUGGGGGAUAGCCCGGCGAAAGCCGGAUUAAUACCGCAUACGAUCUACGGAUGAAAGCGGGGGACCUUCGGGCCUCGCGCUAUAGGGUUGGCCGAUGGCUGAUUAGCUAGUUGGUGGGGUAAAGGCCUACCAAGGCAACGAUCAGUAGCUGGUCUGAGAGGACGACCAGCCACACUGGGACUGAGACACGGCCCAGACUCCUACGGGAGGCAGCAGUGGGGAAUUUUGGACAAUGGGCGAAAGCCUGAUCCAGCAAUGCCGCGUGUGUGAAGAAGGCCUUCGGGUUGUAAAGCACUUUUGUCCGGAAAGAAAUCCUUGGCCCUAAUACGGUCGGGGGAUGACGGUACCGGAAGAAUAAGCACCGGCUAACUACGUG
rnacentral:rRNA from 1 species